GUAGGUGGCAAGCGUUGUCCGGAAUUAUUGGGCGUAAAGCGCGCGCAGGCGGUUCUUUAAGUCUGAUGUGAAAGCCCACGGCUCAACCGUGGAGGGUCAUUGGAAACUGGAGAACUUGAGUACAGAAGAGGAAAGCGGAAUUCCACGUGUAGCGGUGAAAUGCGUAGAGAUGUGGAGGAACACCAGUGGCGAAGGCGGCUUUCUGGUCUGUAACUGACGCUGAGGCGCGAAAGCGUGGGGAGCAAACAGGGAUUAGAUACCCUGGUAGUCCACGCCGUAAACGAUGAGUGCUAAGUGUUAGGGGGUUUCCGCCCCCUUAGUGCUGCAGCUAACGCAUUAAGCACUCCGCCUGGGGAUAGGGCCACAAGGCUG
rnacentral:rRNA from 1 species